GGUAAAGGGGUUUCAAUGGAUUUCUUUGGUAGGUCGGAAAGGGGUUUUGGGUGUUGUGGCUUUGUUGGUUAUUUCUGUUGGCAAUGAGGAGAAGUUUCAUAGAAAUUUUUUUAUUUUCCCUUUCCCCUAAUUCUUAUCCUCUAUUUUUUUCAGUUUUGUAAAUGAUGGCUUUGAUAACAUGACAUGCGUGCAGAAUUCACUCCGAGAUCGCAAAGAGUUGUUUAUUCUUGAAUCACCGAGUCAAGAGAUUGAUUAUGACGAAGAAGAGGCUUUUAGCAAAAUUAAUAGGAAAUUGGACCAUUUUGAGCACAAGCCUAAUCCUAAUCUUUAUGAAAUCGAGGGUAUCAUCAAAUCUUGAUGGAUGAAGAGGAUGUUGGGAAAAAUCUUUCACCACUCUAUGGGGGAUUUAUUGCUAUAGGGUCAUCCAUUUUGUCUUUAAAAAGCUGGGGAAACAUACAUAAGGGCUAUGACCACCAUGUUUCAUGAUAUGAUGUAUAAAAAAAAUUGGAAUAUACAUCGAGUACGUAAUCAUCAACUCUAAUACACAAGUUUACCAUGUGUAAGAUAUGAGAAAAUUCUUUGAAAGAAUGUGAAGAUAUGAUCUCAAGAUUAA